GAAAAUCCGUUGGCUUUAUUGACCGUGAGGGUUCAAGUCCCUCUA
rnacentral:tRNA from 1 species